GGGCCUGUGGUCUAGUGGCUAUGACAUCGCCUCGACACGGCGAAGGUCACCAGUUCAAAUCUGGUCAGGCCCA
rnacentral:tRNA from 1 species